CGUAGUCAAAAGGGAAACAGCCCAGACCACCAGCUAAGGUCCCAAAGUAAUCGUUAAGUGGAAAAGGAUGUGGCGUUGCACAGACAACCAGGAUGUUGGCUUAGAAGCAGCCAUCAUUUAAAGAGUGCGUAAUAGCUCACUGGUCGAGUGACGCUGCGCCGAAAAUGUAUCGGGGCUAAACGAUUCACCGAAGCUGUGGAUUGACAUCUACGAUGUCAGUGGUAGGAGAGCGUUCUAAGUGCGUUGAAGUCAGAUCGGAAGGACUGGUGGAGCGCUUAGAAGUGAGAAUGCCGGUAUGAGUAGCGAAAGACGGGUGAGAAUCCCGUCCACCGUAUGACUAAGGUUUCCUGAGGAAGGCUCGUCCGCUCAGGGUUAGUCGGGACCUAAGCCGAGGCCGAUAGGCGUAGGCGAUGGACAACAGGUUGAUAUUCCUGUACCACCGCCUCACCGUUUGAGAAAUGGGGGGACGCAGUAGGAUAGGGUAAGCGCGCUGUUGGAUAUGCGCGUCCAAGCAGUAAGGCGUGUGUGUAGGCAAAUCCGCACACUGUAACGUUGAGCUGUGAUGGCGAGUCCGUAUGGACGAAGUUCCUGAUUUCACACUGCCAAGAAAAGCCUCUAUCGAGGUGAGAGGUGCCCGUACCGCAAACCGACACAGGUAGUCGAGGAGAGAAUCCUAAGGUGUGCGAGAGAACU
rnacentral:rRNA from 1 species